CUGGCGGCGUGCCUAAUACAUGCAAGUCGAACGGUCUUUUCUAUGGAAGCUUGCUUCCACUGAGAAGAUAGUGGCGAACGGGUGAGUAACACGUGGGUAACCUGCCCAUAAGAGGGGGAUAACAUCCGGAAACGGGUGCUAAUACCGCAUAGUUUUCUUGAUCGCAUGAUUGAGAAAGGAAAGACGGCCUUUGUGCUGUCGCUUAUGGAUGGACCCGCGGCGUAUUAGUUAGUUGGUGAGGUAACGGCUCACCAAGACGAUGAUACGUAGCCGACCUGAGAGGGUGAUCGGCCACAUUGGGACUGAGACACGGCCCAAACUCCUACGGGGGGCAGCAGUAGGGAAUCUUCCGCAAUGGACGAAAGUCUGACGGAGCAACGCCGCGUGAGUGAAGAAAGGUUUUCGGAUCGUAAAACUCUGUUGUCAGAGAAGAACAAGUUGGAGAGUAACUGCUCCAGCCUUGACGGUAUCUGACCAGAAAGCCACGGCUAACUACGUGCCAGCAGCGGC
rnacentral:rRNA from 1 species